UUUGACGCUUUAAUUUUGUUAUAGACUUUUGGGGAUGGAACAUGCAAGCCGAACCGAGAGUUGGGACCGAGAAUCAACCGAUGCCACGUGUCAUUUUUUAAUUGGCACAUACAAAAUAUUUUAAAAAAGAAAAUUCAGAUUUAUUGUCUCUCGACUCUCUCCCUCCCUCUCGGCUGAAUCUACAGGUCUAAUUCCUUUCUUCGCACGCCUCCCUCCCCCCCUGAAACUGCAAAACCGAACUUAUGAAGAGCUCCACUUCCAUUUUUUGCAAAAACUGGUCGGCAGAGUUCCAUUUCCGGCGUGGACAUGAAUUUUCUAUGAAUAUGAUUCUGACAGUCCCAUAUUCGGAAUGAUAACUUUGUUCCUUGAUUGUUGCUUCUGCUGUGCAAUACCAUGGCCCAGAUUCUGUGAAUAGAGUUUUGCAAAAAUGGUGCUAAUAUGACGUCUUUCUCGUUGAAAUAUUCCAGGAAGAGGAAGUCGCGUACGGGACGAGUCUGGGACGUUGACACUGACUAUUUGGAACCAAAAUAAAUUUUUCCCUAUGUUUCUUUCUUUUUCAUUUCACUUUCUACCAUUCGAAACGUGUAGUUGUUGUAAUUGAUUUGAGUUACCUGGUAUUUACUACCAUGUAAAGAUAAUAACGUGCGGUUGUUGUCGUCA